rnacentral:rRNA from 1 species
GGCCAGCAGCCGCGGUAAGACGUAGGGUGCAAGCGUUGUCCGGAUUUACUGGGCGUAAAGAGCGCGUAGGCGGCUCGUUAAGUGAGAAGUGAAAGCUCUGGGCUCAACCCAGAAACCGCUUUUCAUACUGGCGAGCUGGAGUGAUGCAGAGGUGGAUAGAAUUCCCGGUGUAGCGGUGAAAUGCGUUGAUAUCGGGAGGAAUACCCAUGGCGAAGGCAGUCCACUGGGCAUCAACUGACGCUGAGGCGCGAAAGCGUGGGUAGCAAACAGGAUUAGAUACCCUGGUAGUCCACGCCCUAAACGAUGGAUGCUAGGCGUAGGAGGUAUCGACCCCUCCUGUGCCGCAGCUAACGCACUAAGCAUCCCGCCUGGGGACUACGGCCGCAAGGUUGAAACUCAAAUGAAUUGACGGGGGCCCGCACAAGU